CAAAGGUUUGGUCCUAGCCUUUUUAUUAAUUAGUAGCAAAAUUAUACAUGCAAGAGUCAUCACCCCUGUGAAAAUGCCCUAUAGGUCAUAUAGACUUAAAGGAGCCGGUAUCAAGCACACUCAAAGUAGCUCACAACACCUUGCUCAGCCACACCCCCACGGGAUACAGCAGUAAUUAAAAUUAAGCAAUAAACGAAAGUUUGACUAAGUUAUGCUACGAUAAUAGGGUUGGUAAACCUCGUGCCAGCCACCGCGGUCAUACGAGUGACCCUAAUUAAUAAACUUCGGCGUAAAGAGUGUUAAAGACAUAAUCAUAAUAAGAUUAAAUUUUACCUAAGUCGUAAAAAACAACAGGUAGAGUCUAAACCCACAGACUAAAGUAAUCUUAAUAAAUCUGAAUACACUAAAGCUAAGACCCAAACUGGGAUUAGAUACCCCACUAUGCCUAGCCGUAAACACAGAUAUUUAAUAACAAAAAUUUUCGCCAGAGAACUACUAGCAACAGCUUAAAACUCAAAGGACUUGGCGGUGCUUUAAACCCAUCUAGAGGAGCCUGUUCUAUAAUCGAUAAACCCCGAUAAACCUCACCACCUCUUGCCAAUUCAGCUUAUAUACCGCCAUCUUCAGCAAACCCCACCAGGGAUUAUAAGUAAGCACAAUUAUUCUCGUAAAAACGUUAGGUCAAGGUGUAGCCAAUGAAGUGGGAAGAAAUGGGCUACAUUUUCUCCCCAGAGAACAUUCAACGAUAGUCUCUAUGAAACCCAGAGACCCAAGGAGGAUUUAGCAGUAAAUUAAGAAUAGAGAGCUUAAUUGAAUCAGGCCAUAAAGCACGCACACACCGCCCGUCACCCUCCUCAAGUAUCCACCAAGAUUUGUCCAAAUCAUAACAAUACGAGAGGAGACAAGUCGUAACAAGGUAAGCAUACUGGAAAGUGUGCUUGGAUAAAC
rnacentral:ncRNA from 1 species